ACAACAUACAGAGUUACUCACAUGCCUACACCAAUUAAACUUGCAAGGUUUUUAGCAUUUAUUGCGAGUGGUGGCCAAAAAGCUUUCGAUAGUGAAUAUGAGACUUCCAUGUCAAAAUCCCAAGUGUCUAAAAUAAUAUGCGAAAUGUUAGACAUCUUUCAGGAACAUUUGUAUUCAAAGUGGGUGCAAUUAGAUCGAAACCAAGAAGAUGAAAACGUGACAAAAGAACAAGUUUACAAUAGUACUGGAAUACCGGGAGUAGUAGGAUGCGUUGAUAAUACACAUAUACGGAUAAAGACACCAGACAAGCAGGUGAAACAUCUUUACAACAACUCUAAAGGGUUUUAUAGCUUGAAUGUGAUGGUAAUCUGUGAUUAUAAUAUGGUCAUAACACAUGUAGACGCUAGUCAACCGGGAACUUAUCAAGAUGCAUACGUUUGGGAGCAGAGCUUUGCAGAUAGCUACUUCAGCACAAAUUACUCAGAGGGGAAAUGCAAUACUUGGCUUCUUGGUGAUUCUGCUUAUAAAUUGCUUCCAUACUUGUUGACUCCUUAUAGAAAUCCUGUAGAACCAAAUCACAAAUUAUUCAAUCAAAAACACUCCAAGACAAGAAAUAUAAUUAAGCAGUGUUUGCAUUUAUUAAAAAACCGUUUCAGCUGCCUAAUAGCUUCCACAGGGUU